GAAAGGAAGGACAGAAAGGAACGCUAAAGAAAACAACAAGUAAAAAAUGAAUAUUGAAAAGGUUCGGGAAUAUCUAUACGCCACGGCAUCUUUGAUGCUGUGCGCGCCAACGGCCUUAAGUGCAGAGACGGCACACAAAAUUCUUGUAAUCCGUGACGAGGCGGAUAGAUUAUUAAAGGGGUUUGGGCCUGAAAUGCAGUUACCACCCCCAACUAGAGACGAAGAAAAGGAAAGCCUCAUGGCAUAUAUCAAAUAUGUUCAAAUCCGGAUGCAGUUUAUCAC